GAAUUAGAAAACAUAUCCUUCAUGGCCAAUUAUUUCUGACUCAGUUGUUUACUUACUUACCUUGAGAGUGACCUGUGGAGUCUUGGUUGAGCCAAGAUAGAUACUCUGAAAAAGCUUUGCCUUGUAAAUAAGUGUUAAGGGCAUCUCAUGAUGAAGUGUUCUUUCUGAGACAGCAUAAUGAUCUAGAUGAAUAGUUCAACACAUAUGAGAGCAUUUUGAGUAACCAUAUAUUGCUUGCAUGAUCAUUUAAUAUCUAGCUAACUAACUUUUCUUCCUGUGAACAUUACUCAUAGGAUGUUAGUUCUCACAUCAUCUUUGAGAGGAAGGCAAGUAUUAUUAGUCAUUGAGACUAAAGUAAUCUUCACCCAUUCAAUCUUCGAAAAAUACAAUGCUGAGAGUGAAGAGACCAGAGGUGAACAACAGUAGCAAAGAGAGUAAAUAAUGAAAAAAUCCAUGUCACAAGGCAUUUCCCUUUGAAGCAAACCCAAGAAAAUGGAAUUCAGCCUGAUUCCUCUUGUAAGAGAAACAGAGUCUCCGGGAGCCUAUGGACCCUUGGACUCCUCCACUCAAAUAAAGGCUAACGCUGUUUUCCAGUUUCUGAGCUGCCAAUGUACCAUGAGAAAUCCCCUCAUUGCCAUGACAGAAAAGGCAGUGGUACAGCAGAAAUGAGAGACAAAUUUUGCUCUUGAAGAAGGACCAGCCUAGAGAGACUCCCAAGUGCCAAAAAAUUGUAUUCCUCUUGUAUUUAUUUAGUAAAAACCAUCUUCCAAUAAAAUAAAAGCCAUCAUGGACUGAACA
rnacentral:lncRNA from 1 species